CCUUAAACUUAACUCUUUCUUUACAAGGUUCAGAAUAAUUUCUCAUUACCAUUUAUGCUAACAGACCAUGAUAAGGACAUGGAGAUGUCUAAAUCCACUGAUUCACUGCAGAGAAAGGGGUAUUGGACAGUGCUCCAGAAGGAGUACCAUGUGUAUUUAAACUGUAAUCGGAGACAUCUAUUUUCAACCUCAACCACAAUCUAUUUCGUUACAGUGACAGGACUGAGCCAUCAAUGGCAGUCAUGCCUGACAAUCCAGAGGAGACAGAUCUGGCCGGACGCCCCACCUUGCCCCCAGCACAAGUACACAUGCCACCCAAGAUGACUCACUGCCGUCUAACAUGUUACACUUUGUGCAACUUCAAAGCCAUGGUCUAAUCACAAAUUUCUGCAAAGUGAGUGAUCUAAUGCAAACCUAUUCCAUAGAUGGAAAAUUUGUCUUUUUUUUUUUUUUUUAAUUCAGGAGAACAGCAUAACUGUUUGCAACUAAGUGUGUUUCAUUGUUUUUCUGUAAGAGAAUUCACAGCAAAAGUACAGAUUCAACUAAGCUGAAGAAAGAAGUGAAAGCUUUGAAUAUACGACCUUUCCUCCAAAUCUGGAACUUUUAAUAUGAUGAUAAUAAGGUAGGCACAGAGUAAGUCAGUGAACCAGAGCUCUAAAAAAACUCUGCUACUACAAUUUCAAAAAUGGAAUUACGAAUCCUAUAUCCUCCUAGGAACAUACACCACUGCUUAAGAAAUGGUCUGAGUUGAAAAUGAGAGUCAAACCUUCAUUUUCAAGAACCUUAUCUGGGUCAAGUUUUUAAAGCAGUAAGAGUGUUUACUGUUUUCCAAAAUCUGAUUUCUUGUUUCAUGUUGCAGCUGAAGGGCGUAUUACUUACUAAGGGUUGACAGGAUUACUGCUGGUGUACUGGUGGUUUUUCUUGAUUACACUUGUUUUUAAAUGUUUCCAUAAAUCUCCUAGCUGAUUCUGAAAAUAAUUUUCUAGUAAACUAAAAAGUCUUUUUUUUUGCAGAAUUAUCUAAAAAUAAGGAGGGAAGAAAGUUUGUUUAAUGCUAUGCUCUGAAAUACCCACUCAUAUGGCCAGUUUGAAGGUUGUUGGACUUGCAUUUAAAGAAAAUGAAAUUUAAGUGGAAACAAUUACAGGAACAAGAAAGUAUGCAAUGUGAUGAUAUGAAUAAUGUGCAGGGAGAACGUUCUAUUAAAACUUGUCUAUUCUGUACUUACAGAAGUUUUACUUUGUAUGUAAGCUAUUUUUUUUUUUUUUUUUUGUAUUUCAUUUUGUAGGGUUAUUGACUAUUUUUCUUGUAUUAGGCCAGGAGUUUC
rnacentral:lncRNA from 1 species